rnacentral:lncRNA from 1 species
UGCAACCAGGGGUGCUGGUGGAAUUUCCUUAACUGGUGGAGGUGGGGAGAGAAAGAGGUGAGGUGGAGGCGGGGAAGGUGAAGGUGGAGGCGGGGAAGGUGGUGGUGAAGGCGGGGGAGGUGAGGGUGGAGGUGGCGAAGGUGGUGGUGAAGGCGGGGGAGGUGAGGGUGGAGGAGGCGAAGGUGGUGGUGAAGGCGGGGGAGGUGAGGGCGGAGGAGGUGAAGGUGGUGGAGAAGGCGGUGGAGGUGAAGGUGGAGGAGGCGAAUGUGGUGGUGACGGUGGUGGAGGUGAAGGAGGGGGCGGCGAAUGCACUGGCGGUGGUGGAGAGGGAGUCGAUGGUGGUGGCGGAGAGGUAUAAGUAUACGGCGGAGGGGAGGCCGGUGGUGGUGGAGAAACAUAACUAUAAGCUGGCCUCCCUUCCACCGCAAAACUACUCAAG